UCCCUGGUGGUCCAGUGGUUAAGACUCUGUGCUUCCACUGCAGGGGGCACAGGUUUGCUCUCUGGCCAGGGAA
rnacentral:tRNA from 1 species